AUGAAGGGGCGGUUGGGAGCUCUAAGAGGUUCUACGGCUGCUUGUGCAGAUAGUCCUACUACACCCAAGAAUCCCAUUGUGGAAUUGAUAGACAACGAUGAUGAUGUGUUUGACAAGAUUGCUGGCGUUGGCAGAGUCACGAGGAGCGCUGUUGCCAAAGGUUUAUCUCCCCUUGCUGGAAUAAUGGCUCGUAGAGCUGGUGGUGCUAUGAAAGAUCCCGCUUUGGAUUCUGGCAAUGUUGUAAGCACGAAGCGUGCGCCCAGAGCUCCUAUAAAGUUUUGCUCCCCUGUGCAGCAGCUUCACCCUUAUAAAUUCUCUCACCUGGACAAGGCUCGCAGGUUGUAUAAUCUGUUGCUUAGUGAUGAAUGGCGUGAGAAGUAUGUCGAGAAUACAUUCUCAAUGAUACCUCAUCCUGAUGAUAACGUAACUAGCUUCACUGGCAAACGCAUCUGGGAAGUUUUUGCACCUGGGCAAAUGAUGGAGGGUGAUGUAAUGGACUUCCUUAUUGAUGAUUGGAAGCAAGAUCCCUAUAGAAAUGCUGAUUUCGCAUUUGGGAAAAGGAUAUUGCUGAGUCCAUAUUUCAUCACGGUUGUGCUUGACUGUUCGUUUUACGAGGAUGAAAAUAAAGUGUUUAAUGUGGAGAGUGCAGCGAGAGAUUUCAAGAGCUAUGUUAAAGCUAAUGAAGACUUGCUCAGUGCCGACCUUAUCAUGAUGCCUCUAUUCAAGCCUAUGGUUUUAUCAAAGGAUAGGAAAGUAAACCACUAUUCCUUAUAUGUCAUGAAUCGAUACCGAAGUAGCGUUGACAUCCUUGACUCUUUACCUUAUCCGAAGAACCACCAUCCUUCGAAGAACACCUAUCACAAAGACUGCGAGAAGAUUCCACGCAUUGUUGAUUGGAACGCUGAGGAUCUGUAUAGAGUUGUGUUCAACCGGAAUAACAAUCUUCUGGUGACGGAGCUUCCCAAGGAGGUUCAGGCUUUGGCUCCUGAUGCAUAG
rnacentral:rRNA from 1 species